rnacentral:rRNA from 1 species
UUUAAUGGCCGCAGUAUUUUGACUGUGCAAAGGUAGCAUAAUCAUUAGUUUUUUAAUUAAAAACUGGAAUGAAGGGUUGAACGAGGAAAUAGCUGUCUCUUAAUAAAUUUUUUAGAAAUUUAUUUUUAAGUAAAAAAGCUUAAAUUUUUUUAAAAGACGAGAAGACCCUAUAGAGUUUUAUAUUAUUAUAAAUUAUUUUUAUUUUUGUAUAUUUUUUAUUUAAUUUAUAGUAGUAUUUUAUUGGGGUGAUUGAAAAAUUUAAUAAACUUUUUUUUUAUGUUUACAUUAAUUUAUGAUUUAUUGAUCCAUUUUUUAUGAUUAUAAGAUUAAAUUACCUUAGGGAUAACAGCGUAAUUUCUUUUUAGAGUUCAAAUCGAUAAAGAAGUUUGCGACCUCGAUGUUGGAUUAAAAUAAAAUUUUGGUGUAGAAGCUAGAAUAUUUAGGUCUGUUCGACCUUUGAAAUUUUACAUGAUCUGAGUUUAAACCGGUGUGAGCCAGGUUGGUUUCUAUCUUUAAAUAAUUUAAUUUUUUAGUACGAAAGGACCAAAUAUUAGUAAUAGUUAUUUUUAUUKGAAUAAUAUUA